ensembl:snRNA U4 U4 spliceosomal RNA
AGCUUUGCCAGUGGCAGUAUCGUAGCCAAAGAGGUUUAUCCAAGGCGCGAUUAUUGCCAAUUGAAAACUUUUCCCAAUACCCUACCGCGACGACUUCGGUAUCGUCGGCAUUGGCAAUUUUUGACAGUCUCUGUGGAGA